rnacentral:rRNA from 1 species
GGAAACUGAGGAUAAUACUGGAUAGGCAAUUAUUCCUGCAAUGGGUUUUUGUUUAAAUGUUUUUUCGCCUAAGGAUGGGUCUGCGGCCGAUUAGGUAGUUGGUUAGGUAAUGGCUUACCAAGCCGUUGAUCGGUACGGGUUGUGAGAGCAAGAGCCCGGAGAUGGAACCUGAGACAAGGUUCCAGGCCCUACGGGGUGCAGCAGGCGCGAAACCUCCGCAAUGUGAGAAAUCGCGACGGGGGGAUCCCAAGUGCCAUUCUUAACGGGAUGGCUUUUCAUUAGUGUAAAGAGCUUUUGGAAUAAGGGCUGGGCAAGACCGGUGCCAGCCGCCGCGGUAACACCGGCAGCUCUAGUGGUAGCAGUUUUUAUUGGGCCUAAAGCGUCCAUAGCCGGUUUAAUAAGUCUCUGGUGAAAUCCUGUAGCUUAACUGUGGGAAUUGCUGGAGAUACUAUUAGACUUGAGACCGGGAGAGGUUAGAGGUACUCCCAGGGUAGAGGUGAAAUUCUGUAAUCCUGGGAGGACCGCCUGUUGCGAAGGCGUCUAACUGGAACGGUUCUGACGGUGAGGGACGAAAGUUAGGGGCGCGAACCGGAUUAGAUACCCGGGUAGUCCUAACCGUAAACGAUGCGGACUUGGUGUUGGGGUGGCUUUGAGCUGCUCCAGUGCCGAAGGGAAGCUGUUAAGUCCGCCGCCUGGGAAGUACGGUCGCAAGACUGAAACUUAA